UAUGAAAUAUUUCCUCAAUGGAGGCAUUUACCAAAGCCUCUGUAGGACUUCCACGAGUCCAUGAAAGCCAAGUCUUCUGUAAAUUUUCAUGUUAAUUUACAUAGAUGUUUUAAAAAAAGGAGUAAUGGAAUUUCAAAGCUCAUAUACAUUAAUUUUCCAUCCAGCAGAAUAACUUUGGCGAUCUUCAGUGAAAACCACCUCUGCAAGCAGAGUGUGGCUGAACAAGAACUAGCAUAAUGGAAAGUUUAAUUUCCAAAAUAUCAUAAAGUUGCAGGAGUAGUGAAGGAAGUGAACAUUACUUGCACUUAUGGUACACUCAUUUCUGCCUUUAUUAAUGUGAAUCUGUGUUUUCCUUUUACACUGCUAUUUGUAUAAAUGAAAUUCACCAUGACAUUGAAAACUGGAUUAAAAUGUUCCUUUUGUUUCUGCUUUUGGGUCUUUUAUAGAUUAAACUAUGUUUUAAUGUUGCUAUUAUAAAUGUUUAUGAUGGGUAAUACUAUACAUGGGCCUAGUCCAACUCCCACUUAACUCGGUGGAAAGAUUCCUUUGAUGUUGAUUGGAGAUGGAUUAGGCGAUCAAUAUGUCUUGCUGUUUAUAUACAUUAGUGUACAAAAGUGUUAAUGCUUUAUGAAUUAGCAAAGAUAUUACCACCCGAAUUCUCAGUGUACAUGUAUUACCCAAAACAAGUAGUUCCAUGAGCAGUGGAAUUAAUGAAGCCUCUUUUUCCGUGAUUCGUAGCUGAGGUGAAUUUCCAUGUGGAUUCCAUGGUUGCACUCAUACUGCAGCCUUUCCUGCCAGGAGAGCAACGUCUGAGUCCCUCUCAACCUCCCUGGCUGCUUAUUUUCAUGAGAUUCGUAGAAAAUAAGUACAGAUGAGUCUUCUAGCUCUCUGCUGAAUUUAGCUAAAAGCAGCUAACGGAUUUACUAGGGGCUGGCAGAUAGGUGACACAGAAGCAUACAAAUACUGCAGUUACAAGCUACAUUCCUGUGGAAACUGGACUGAAAGUAAAGGAAUGCACACACUGGACUUUGUAUCAUCAGACUUCGAUAAUAUCCUAAAGGAACAGUUAAUAAGAAACCACAAACAUAGAUUUAAAAGGAGUAAGAAGUAAUCUGAGUUUUAAUAAGCAACACAGAAAGCUCAGUUAUCCCCACAAGGACAGCGAGGCAUUGCAUAACCUCAUGACUUCGCAGGGGAGGUUUCUUGUUCCAGUGAGACCUUGACGCUUCCUGGAACUUCCCACAGUACAGGCGGUAUUUGAAAUAUUUAUGAUACUUCUACAUGCAUUUGGGAGCAGGUGGCUCCUCCAAGAAUUAAGACUUGCUUUGUAAGCCAGAGCAGGUGAACAGACCUUGGCUUGGUUCCUUCCUCUGUACUUUGAAGCACUAGAGGAGUCACAACAGUAAAGGCAAAACAAGAACUGCAGCUAUGACUGCUUUCAGCUCUUGACAGGACUGAUAAAACCAAUUUCUGAAAGAAAUCUGAAUCAUUUGUACUUUCUCUCCAGAAGCAGGAAUGUUCAUCUGAUAGGAUAUGAUCUCUCUUUGCCAUCUAGAAUGCAUGAUGGAAUCCUGUUUAGCUGUGUUUAAAUGUAUUAGUGAAAGUAUAAAGACAACUAGAAAAAUUAUGAAGUGCCAAAAUAAACAAAUUAACUUUAAUUAGAAAAAAUUCUGAAGCAAGGCUUCAAGUGCAAUUUAGGACAUCACACAGAGAAAAUAAGAUACAAAAGACAGGCAUGGAACUGUGGGAAUGAAACUGUGAAUCAGCAAGGUACAGAACUACAGUGCAAAUAUUUCAAACAGGAAGUGCUGCAGCAAAGUCCUGGUGAGCUAAUUACUUUUUUACUUUCUGGAUGAACAUAAUUUUAGGCCUGUUUUAAUAGAUUCACAAAUAAUCUGGGAAUAGCAUUAGCAGUUCAGAGCAUCUUCCAUUAUUAAAGUUAGGAAUCAGUAGCUGCAUACUAAGCAAGUUUUGAUAUCUGAAAGGAAUACCUCAUGUAUUUAUAAAAUUCUGGCUUGAUUACAAUGUAAGGUGGUAUUUUUUUCUUGGACAAAAUUUCAGACAUGGAAGGUAAAAUAGAGAAGCUUUCUUUGUUGAAGCCUAAGCCUUUGAUUUUUGUGAGAGGUCUGUAAGUAUGUAGAGUAUCUCAGGUCAGAGAAGAGGCUGGAACAGAGAUGAAAUUCUGGAUUGAUUGGAGGGCAUAAUACAUAUGAUAAAAUAUAACCACUUCCAUGACAUAGAGUUCAAAUGGCCUUAUAUCACUGGUUGCUUGAAACAAGUAAUAACGACAAACCAAGAAAGGAGCAGCAAGUGCAAACAAAAUAAGAUUUACCAAAACCAAAGCAAGGUCUCUCUAGGUUUUUUAUUUCUCAGCCUAUGAUAAAUAUAGCAGGCUUCUGGUAAUAAUGCUUAAAAAAUACUCUAUUGUCAUUCUGAGAAAAAAACAACUCCAAAAAAAACUUGGACUGUCUAAAGCAGUUUGAAAUGAAUCAGCUAGCAUUCACAUUUUGGAUCAGUUCACAAAAAUGUUGACAAGCUCUGAAUUCUAGCAAGUUUCUGAUUUGACGGAUUUGGGUCUUUGCACUGAGUUUAGAUGGGUUACAGACUGAAGCCUGUUUCUGUUUUUGUGGCCAUCUGAAUUGGUUGUUGCUAUUGUCCUUGCAGCUCUCACAUUUACAUCGAGAAGGGUAAAAAAUGCAAGGCUGUGAAUUGAGGAAAAAACAGGCAAGCUAACUUUUCUAGGCUGCAAAGGGGGCAAUAGCUUAAACAUGAGCCUGGUGUAAUAAUUCAGGCAUUAAGAUUAUUCAGUGAAAGAAUAGUCAAAAAGAGAUGUAUAUCUGUAUGAAGGUUUUAAUAGGACUUUUAAUAAUAACAAGAAUACAAUAAUAACAAUAACAACAACAACCGAAUAACAACAGUUACACUGAACAGCUGCCUGGAAGGUGUAGGGCACUCACAUGGCCCAGCUUUGGCAACUGGCCUGGAUAAAAACACCUCUAAGAUAAGGAAGAGUGAUGAUAUGUAUGGAGUACUCAAACCUGCUAGGAUGUCUACUCCGAUACGACCAUCUGGGAUUUACAGAGAGACUUUUGAAACAUAGUCAGCCUGAAAAG